rnacentral:rRNA from 1 species
UGAACGCUGACAGAAUGCUUAACACAUGCAAGUCAACUUGAACUUCGGUUUGGGUGGCGGACGGGUGAGUAACGCGUAAAGAACUUGCCUCACAGCUAGGGACAACAUUUGGAAACGAAUGCUAAUACCUGAUAUUAUGAUUAUAUGGCAUCGUAUAAUUAUGAAAGCUAUAUGCGCUGUGAGAGAGCUUUGCGUCCCAUUAGCUAGUUGGAGAGGUAACAGCUCACCAAGGCGAUGAUGGGUAGCCGGCCUGAGAGGGUGAUCGGCCACAAGGGGACUGAGACACGGCCCUUACUCCUACGGGAGGCAGCAGUGGGGAAUAUUGGACAAUGGACCGAGAGUCUGAUCCAGCAAUUCUGUGUGCACGAUGAAGUUUUUCGGAAUGUAAAGUGCUUUCAGUUGGGAAGAAAAAAAUGACGGUACCAACAGAAGAAGUGACGGCUAAAUACGUG